rnacentral:rRNA from 1 species
AAGCGGCAACAGCUCAAAUUUGAAACCUGGCGCUUGCGCCCGGAUUGUAAUUUGUAGAGGAUGCUUCUGGGCAGCGGCCGGUCUAAGUUCCUUGGAACAGGACGUCAUAGAGGGUGAGAAUCCCGUAUGUGACCGGCGCGCACCCUCCACGUAGCUCCUUCGACGAGUCGAGUUGUUUGGGAAUGCAGCUCUAAAUGGGAGGUAAAUUUCUUCUAAAGCUAAAUAUUGGCCAGAGACCGAUAGCGCACAAGUAGAGUGAUCGAAAGAUGAAAAGCACUUUGGAAAGAGAGUUAAAAAGCACGUGAAAUUGUUGAAAGGGAAGCGCUUCCCACCAGACUCCGCGGCGGUGUUCCGCCGGUCUUCUGACCGGUCCACUCGCCGCCGUGGGGCCAGCAUCGUCUGGGGCCGCCGGAUAAGACCGCAGGAAUGUAGCUCAUUGAGUGUUAUAGCCUGCGGUGAUGCGGCGCGCCCCGGGCGAGGUCCGCGCUUCGGCAAGGAUGCUGGCGUAAUGGUGGGCAGCGGCCCGUCUUGAAACACGGACCAAGGAGUCUAACAUCUAUGCGAGUGUUCGGGUGUCAAACCCCUACGCGUAAUGAAAGUGAACGGAGGUGGGAGCUUCGGCGCACCAUCGACCGAUCCUGAUGUCCUCGGAUGGAUUUGAGUAAGAGCAUAGCUGUUGGGACCCGAAAGAUGGUGAACUAUGCCUGAAUAGGGUGAAGCCAGAGGAAACUCUGGUGGA